GACCAACACACCCUGUCUGCCACUAGGGGGGGCAUCAGUUUACCGACUAACACACCCAGUCUGCCACUAGGGGGCAUCAGAUUACCGACCAACACACCCGGUCUGCCACUAGGGGGGGCAUCAGAUUACCGACCAACACACCCGGUCUGCCACUAGGGGGGGCAUCAGAUUACCGACCAACACACCCGGUCUGCCACUAGGGGGCAUCAGAUUACCGACCAACACACCCGGUCUGCCACUAGGGGGGGCAUUAGAUUACCGACCAACACACCCGGUCUGCCACUAGGGGGCAUCAGUUUACCGACCAACACACCCGGUCUGCCACUAGGGGGGGCAUCAGAUUACCGACCAACACACCCAGUGUGCCACUAGGGGGCAUCAGAUUACCGACCAACACACCCGGUCUGCCACUAGGGGGCAUCAGAUUACCGAAAAACACACCCGGUCUGCCACUAGGGGGGGCAUCAGAUUACCAACCAACACACCCGGUCUGCCACUAGGGGCAUCAGAUUACCGACCAACACACCCGGUCUGCCACUAGGGGCAUCAGAUUACCGACCAACACACCCGGUCUGCCACUAGGGGCAUCAGAUUACCGACCAACACACCCGGUCUGCCACUAGGGGGGGCAUCAGAUUACCGACCAACACACCCGGUCUGCCACUAGGGGGCAUCAGAUUACCAACCAACACACCCGGUCUGCCACUAGGGGGGGCAUCAGAUUACCGACCAACACACCCGGUCUGCCACUAGGGGGGUCAUCAGAUUACCAACCAACACACCCGGUCUGCCACGAGGGGCAUCAGAUUACCAACCAACACACCCGGUCUGCCACUAGGGGGGGCAUCAGAUUACCGACCAACACACCCGGUCUGCCACUAGGGGGGGGGCAUCAGAUUACCGACCAACACACCCGGUCUGCCACUAGGGGCAUCAGAUUACCGACCAACACACCCGGUCUGCCACUAGGGGGGGCAUCAGAUUACCAACCAACACACCCGGUCUGCCACUAGGGGCAUCAGAUUACCGACCAACACACCCGGUCUGCCACUAGGGGCAUCAGAUUACCGACCAACACACCCGGUCUGCCACUAGGGGGGGCAUCAGAUUACCGACCAACACACCCGGUCUGCCACUAGGGGGCAUCAGAUUACCGACCAACACACCCGGUCUGCCACUAGGGGGCAUCAGAUUACCAACCAACACACCCGGUCUGCCACUAGGGGGCAUCAGAUUACCGACCAACACACCCGGUCUGCCACUAGGGGGAGCAUCAGAUUACCGACCAACACACCCGGUCUGCCACUAGGGGGGGCAUCAGAUUACCGACCAACACACCCGGUCUGCCACUAGGGGGGGCAUCAGAUUACGACCAACACACCCAGUCUGCCACUAGGGGGGUCAUCAGAUUACCAACCAACACACCCGGUCUGCCACGAGGGGCAUCAGAUUACCGACCAACACAGCCGGUCUGCCACUAGGGGCAUCAGAUACCGACCAACACACCCGGUCUGCCACUAGGGGCAUCAGAUUACUGACCAACACACCCGGUCUGCCACUAGGGGGGCAUCAGAUUACCGACCAACACACCCGGUCUGGCCACUAUGGGGGGCAUCAGAUUACCGACCAACAACCGGGUCUGCCACUAGGGGGCAUCAGAUUACCGACCAACACACCCGGUCUGCCACUAGUGGGCAUCAGAUUACCGACCAACACCCCGGUCUACCACUAGGGGCAUCAGAUUACCGACCAACACACCCGGUCUGCCACUAGUGGGCAUCAGAUUACCGACCAACACACCCGGUCUGCCACUAGGGGCAUCAGAUUACCGACCAACACACCCGGUCUGCCACUAGGGGCAUCAGAUUACCGACCAACACCCGGUCUGCCACUAGGGGCAUCAGAUUACCGACCAACACACCCGGUCUGCCACUAGGGGGGGCAUCAGAUUACCGACCAACACACCCGGUCUGCCACUAGGGGGGCAUCAGAUUACCGACCAACACACCCGGUCUGCCACUAGGGGGCAUCAGAUUACCAACCAACACACCCGGUCUGCCACUAGGGGGCAUCAGAUUACCGACCAACACAACCGGUCUGCCACAAGGGGGGGCAUCAGAUUACCGACCAACACACCCGGUCUGCCACUAGGGGGGGCAUCAGAUUACCGACCAACACACCCGGUCUGCCACUAGGGGGGUCAUCAGAUUACCGACCAACACACCCGGUCUGCCACUAGG
ensembl:lncRNA